rnacentral:rRNA from 1 species
GACGAACGCUGGCGGCGUGCUUAACACAUGCAAGUCGAACGCUGAAGACCUGGCUUUUGUUGGGUUGGAUGAGUGGCGAACGGGUGAGUAACACGUGAGUAACCUGCCCUCUUCUUUGGGAUAACGCCCGGAAACGGGUGCUAAUACUGGAUAUUCACUGAUCUUCGCAUGGGGGUUGGUGGAAAGGUUUGUUCUGGUGGGGGAUGGGCUCGCGGCCUAUCAGCUUGUUGGUGGGGUGAUGGCCUACCAAGGCUUUGACGGGUAGCCGGCCUGAGAGGGUGACCGGUCACAUUGGGACUGAGAUACGGCCCAGACUCCUACGGGAGGCAGCAGUGGGGAAUAUUGCACAAUGGGCGAAAGCCUGAUGCAGCGACGCCGCGUGAGGGAUGGAGGCCUUCGGGUUGUAAACCUCUUUCGCUCAUGGUCAAGCCGCAACUGUGGGUUGUGGUGAGGGUAGUGGGUAAAGAAGCGCCGGCUAACUACGUG